GAGAGGCGGUGGAAUGACACGAUCACUCCCGCUGAGCGGGCCCGCACACGCCGUCUGGGAAUGUCGUGGUCCGCCCGGCGCUCUUU
rnacentral:pre_miRNA from 12 species